rnacentral:tRNA from 1 species
UUUAGUUUGGCAGAACAAAUGCAGUUGAUUUAGAAUCAAUAUAUAAAAAUUUUUUAACUGGUAAAA